rnacentral:rRNA from 1 species
GGUUGAUCCUGCCAGUAGCAUAUGCUUGUCUCAAAGAUUAAGCCAUGCAUGUCCAAGUAUAACCGCCUUUAUACUGGAAAACUGCGUACAGCUCAUUAAAUCAGUGAUUAUUUCUUUGAAGGUGCCCUACUAGACGGAUACCCGUAGUAAUUCUAGAGCUAAUACGUGCGUGUAAUCCCUUUGCCUUUGCGGCGAGGGGAGCGUUUAUUAGAUUCCAAACCAGUUUGCCUCCCUUUUACUCAAAAGGGAGGUAGUUUUGGUGAGUCCUAGUACCCUAGCGGAUCGCAGUGGGG